rnacentral:misc_RNA from 1 species
CCUAGAUUGUGUUCCAUGUUUUAUUAUGACAUCCUCUUCAUUUUCUAACAUUUGGAAAAGCAAAUCACGAAUUUUGCCUCCGUCUUUACGAUAUCGAUUUCCCAUAAAAAACAAGAGCGUUUUCCGAUCCUUAACGCCAAUAUCCCCAUUGUAAGUAUUGAUUCUAUGAGAGUAAGGUAUGAUCACAUCCUUUACCAGUGAACCCUGGUCGGGUCUAACCCGUCCAAAAUCCGANNNNAUAACAGAAUUGCGUUCUUGACCCGGUAUAGGACCCGGUAUAACGCAUUUGGAUCUCCCGCUAUGAUUACGUGGUCUCUCCCACCAUUCCUUCUCCAGUGCUCUUGCUGCUCCAGCCACUCCACCAACUGCUCCUGCAUAUGCUCGU